rnacentral:rRNA from 1 species
UACAGAGGGGGCAAGCGUUAUUCGGAAUUAUUGGGCGUAAAGGGCGCGUAGGCGGCCUGGCAAGUGGAAGGUGAAAUCCCUCGGCUUAACCGCGGAACUGCCCUCCAAACUGCUUGGCUUGAGUCCGGGAGAGGUGAGUGGAAUUCCCAGUGUAGCGGUGAAAUGCGUAGAUAUUGGGAGGAACACCAGUGGCGAAGGCGGCUCACUGGACCGGAACUGACGCUGAGGCGCGAAAGCGUGGGGAGCAAACGGG